GGGGGCGUCACGGUUUCGACGGGGAUAGGUGAAGCUGUAGCCGCGUGCCGAGGUUCCUACAGGCCUCGUUAAACAGGUAGGAAAACAUAAUCGCAGACAACUACGAUUACGCUGUAGCCGCUUAGACGGCUACCGGUCUCCCGACCAUGUCUGCCGGGUCGGAUGAGGGCGUCAUAUAGGCGGGCUGGCCGAUCUCUCUUUCCUGGAGGGAGUGAGGCGAGAACUAAACAGGAUAGUACCUGAUCAAUCCUGCCUUUGGGAGUUUUCAGGUGCGAAUCUAAAUCAAAGGAUACGCACGUAGAAACUCCAGUGGAAUAUUUUCGGACGCGGGUUCGACUCCCGCCGCCUCCACCA
rnacentral:tmRNA from 1 species